rnacentral:rRNA from 1 species
CCUACGGGUGGCAGCAGUAGGGAAUUUUCGUCAAUGGGGGAAACCCUGAACGAGCAAUGCCGCGUGAGUGAAGAAGGCCUUCGGGUCGUAAAGCUCUGUUGUAAGAGAAAAACGGUAAUGAUAGGAAAUGAUCAUUAAGUGAUGGUAUCUUACGAGGAAGCCACGGCUAACUACGUGCCAGCAGCCGCGGUAAUACGUAGGUGGCAAGCGUUAUCCGGAAUGAUUGGGCGUAAAGGGUGCGCAGGCGGAACCAUAAGUCUGAAGUAAAAGCCAUCGGCUCAACCGAUGUAAGCUUUGGAAACUGUGGAUCUGGAGUGCAGGAGAGGACAGUGGAAUUCCAUGUGUAGCGGUAAAAUGCGUAGAUAUAUGGAGGAACACCAGUGGCGAAGGCGGCUGUCUGGCCUGUAACUGACGCUGAGGCACGAAAGCGUGGGGAGCAAAUAGGAUUAGAUACCCGGGUAGUC